GCUGGGUGUGGUGGUGCACGCCUGUAAUCCCAACAGCUCAGGAGGCUGAGGCAGGAGGAUCACAAGUUCAAAGCCAGUCUCAG
rnacentral:sRNA from 1 species